rnacentral:lncRNA from 1 species
CAUUCCCUGCCAAUUGUGCCUUCUUGGGGCGCCCGGCCCCCCAUCCUUGGAGAAGGGGCUCUGUCCCAUCUCCUGCUUCUUGACUGUAUGUCCUAUGUGCCGGGGACUGAAAGUGUUGCCUCACCUCCACCCACAGCCCACUCAGGAAGCUCCUGGAAUCCCUGCCAUCCCUGCAGCCCCCAAGGAUUCAUGGGUAACAGGCUUCUGGGGGUUCCCAACAUGAUAAGUUAUUAAGGUUUCUCAGCCUCCCUCUCAGUAAAGGAGGGUUUGUAACUCAGGAGUCUCUGUAUCAUCUCUCACUUCCCUGUUGACCCCAGCCCACCUUCUGCCACCCAGAGUAGAGGGGAAACUGAUACGCUUCAGAAAGGAAGAGAGAGGAAGCAGAGUGUUAGGGUUGUGGGGACCUGGCAGCUUCCCCAGGUGCCACUUCUCACCCCUCGAGCUUCUCUCUUGUUUGAGCUGGGAACGUGUGAAACGGCAAGGAAGAAAUCAGGCUUAUUCCUGACCCUCUGCUCUCUUGGGGCAAAGCUGCAGGGACAGUGCUAGGGAAGGAAGUCCCAGUGAGGAAUGCCAGUGGAGCUUGCCUGUGGCAACUUGAACAAAAGUUUUAGUCAGGCAGGAUCGGGAGUGGGGAAUCUCUGGAGGGUGAUCCCCUGGAAGUUUUCUGCAACAGGAGUGUGGAGAAGCAGGAGAGAGGCCUCCCAAAAGCAGGACUUACUUCGAACCUCUAAGCCUGGUGGAGAUGACCUGAAUCAGAGAGUCACCAGGUGUGAGCCACCAACACCUGGCUGGCAAAAUAUUUUAAGCUGCCUGGGCAUGGAACAGAGGCACCUAUGUGGGGAGUGGCAGAGUCAGACUUCCUAAAAGAGUGACAUUCCCUCACAAUACUCCCACAGGCCUCUUGGCAGUACUGGGAAGGCCCUAGUGAUGGUGAGGACAGAUGAGGGUGUGUCUCAACUCCGAGGGUCCUAAAGCCCUCCUCUCUGAAGCAUCCCUCUUCCCUUCCCCCAGGCCUAAGCUGCUUCUUAGAGAAGAGACCCUUCUGAAGGUUCUGGACCUCAGAGACCUGGCUCUAGUGACUAAA